AUUGAACGCUGGCGGCAUGCUUUACACAUGCAAGUCGAACGGUAGGGUAGCAAUACCUGAGAGUGGCGAACGGGUGAGUAAUGCAUCGGAACAUGCCCAUUAGGGGGGGAUAGCCCGGCGAAAGCCGGAUUAAUACCGCAUACGAUCGAUGGAUGAAAGCCGGGGACCGCCAGUCCUUGCGCUAAUGGAGUGGCCGAUGUCAGAUUAGCUAGUUGGGGGGGUAAAGGCUAACCAAGGCAACGAUCUGUAGCUGGUUUGAGAGAACGACCAGCCACACUGGGACUGAGACACGGCCCAGAUUCCUACGGGAGGCAGCAGUGGGGAAUUUUGGACAAUGGGCGCAAGCCUGAUCCAGCAAUGCCGCGUGCAGGAUGAAGGCCUUCGGGUUGUAAACUGCUUUUGUACGGAACGAAACGGCUCUGGUUAAUACCCGGGGCUAAUGACGGUACCGUAAGAAUAAGCACCGGCUAACUACGUGCCAGCCGCCGCCGUAA
rnacentral:rRNA from 1 species